rnacentral:rRNA from 1 species
UACGAAGGGGGCUAGCGUUGCUCGGAAUCACUGGGCGUAAAGGGUGCGUAGGCGGGUCUUUAAGUCAGGGGUGAAAUCCUGGAGCUCAACUCCAGAACUGCCCUUGAUACUGAAGAUCUUGAGUUCGGGAGAGGUGAGUGGAACUGCGAGUGUAGAGGUGAAAUUCGUAGAUAUUCGCAAGAACACCAGUGGCGAAGGCGGCCCACUGGCCCGAUACUGACGCUGAGGCACGAAAGCGUGGGGAGCAAACAGG